CCGCACUGUGGCUGUCACCAAGAGCCAGUUCCUCAUCAAUGGGAAACCUUUCUAUUUCCACGGUGUCAACAAGCAUGAGGAUGCGGACAUCCGAGGGAAGGGCUUCGACUGGCCGCUGCUGGUGAAGGACUUCAACCUGCUUCGCUGGCUUGGUGCCAACGCUUUCCGUACCAGCCACUACCCCUAUGCAGAGGAAGUGAUGCAGAUGUGUGACCGCUAUGGGAUUGUGGUCAUCGAUGAGUGUCCCGGCGUGGGCCUGGCGCUGCCGCAGUUCUUCAACAACGUUUCUCUGCAUCACCACAUGCAGGUGAUGGAAGAAGUGGUGCGUAGGGACAAGAACCACCCCGCGGUCGUGAUGUGGUCUGUGGCCAACGAGCCUGCGUCCCACCUAGAAUCUGCUGGCUACUACUUGAAGCUCCGUAUGUGGAUGUGAUCUGUUUGAACAGCUACUACUCUUGGUAUCACGACUACGGGCACCUGGAGUUGAUUCAGCUGCAGCUGGCCACCCAGUUUGAGAACUGGUAUAAGAAGUAUCAGAAGCCCAUUAUUCAGAGCGAGUAUGGAGCAGAAACGAUUGCAGGGUUUCACCAGGAUCCACCUCUGAUGUUCACUGAAGAGUACCAGAAAAGUCUGCUAGAGCAGUACCAUCUGGGUCUGGAUCAAAAACGCAGAAAAUACGUGGUUGGAGAGCUCAUUUGGAAUUUUGCCGAUUUCAUGACUGAACAGUGUAAGUGGCAGUUUGGCUCAUGGGAUAACGUACCCGUCCUCAUUUUUUCAGGUUGCCUUUCCAAUUCUGGCCAUUUCAAUUGUAAGAAUAUUGGAAACAAAGUUGGGGAAGCUGGUUUAAUCCAUGUAGGUUGCGUUGAGAAUUUUCUAGGAAAAGUAAGUUGUGUUUAGGAAGUAG
rnacentral:lncRNA from 1 species